ACAUAUCUGCUGUCAAUUGAUUUUCAAUACAUGUGCCCAGACCAUUCAAUAGGGAAAGAAUAGUCUCUUCAACAAAUGGUUCUGAGAAACUGGAUACUGGCAUGCAAAAGAAUGACAUUGGAAUCUACCUCACCCCAUGGACAGAAGUUGACUCAAAUGGAGUAAAGGCCUAAAGGGACACAGAUGCCACUCCCAGCUUUGUCCCCUCUCUCUGAGCCACAAGGACCGUCAGGUGCUACAGAUAAAGAGACAUGGUCGCUGACUCUCAAUGCAGCAGCCCCUUGGGGACCACAGAUCUCAGAGCCAACAGCUGUUCUCAGGUCGUCGGAAGUGGUGAAGCUUCAAAAACACGCUUCCUCCCGCCUGGCAGAGCCCCUACCCGCAACCCACCUCAUUUCUGUGAGGCCUGUGUUUAGAGACCCACAGAUUCCUCAAGAUGCUUUUUAAGACUUCCUGCUCUUGGCUGGCAAAUUGUUAAUCAGUUUGUGGCAGCAUAAAUAAAAUUAGAGGGUUUAAUUAAAACUAA